rnacentral:snoRNA from 1 species
CCCCUCUCCGGGUCGCACCUGGAGAGUUUCCAGUAGUCUACCAGUCUUGACCAUGGGAGGGAGAGUCAAGCAGGAGCUUAUCCAUUCUAUUCCUAUCUUGAGCAGUGGCUAGCGAGUGGAAGGCAAUCUGCUACAAGU